AGAGUUUGAUCCUGGCUCAGAAUGAACGCUGGCGGCGUGCUUAACACAUGCAAGUCGAGCGAGGCCUGGGGGGCAACUCCCAGAGUCGAGCGGCGGACGGGUGAGUAACACGUGGGUAACCUGCCCGGAAGUGGGGAAUACCUCGGGGAAACUCGAGCUAAUACCGCAUGACAUCUUCGGGACGAAAGUCCUGACGAUCA
rnacentral:rRNA from 1 species